rnacentral:rRNA from 1 species
GACGAACGCUGGCGGCGUGCCUAAUACAUGCAAGUAGAACGCACAGUUUAUACCGUAGCUUGCUACACCAUAAACUGUGAGUUGCGAACGGGUGAGUAACGCGUAGGUAACCUGCCUGGUAGCGGGGGAUAACUAUUGGAAACUAUAGCUAAUACCGCAUAAUAUUGAUUAUUGCAUGAUAAUUGAUUUUAUGCUGCUAUUGCAUCACUACCAGAUGGACCUGCGUUGUAUUAGCUAGUAGGUGAGGUAACGGCUCACCUAGGCGACGAUACAUAGCCGACCUGAGAGGGUGAUAGGCCACACUGGGACUGAGACACGGCCCAGACUCCUACGGGAGGCAGCAGUAGGGAAUCUUCGGCAAUGGACGAAAGUCUGACCGAGCAACGCCGCGUGAGUGAAGAAGGUUUUCGGAUCGUAAAGCUCUGUUGUAAGAGAAGAACGGGUGUGAGAGUGGAAAGUUCACACUGUGACGGGAUCUUACCAGAAAGGGACGGCUAACUACGU